rnacentral:rRNA from 1 species
CUGCGUACCUUUUGUAUAAUGGGUCAGCGACUUAUAUUCUGUAGCAAGGUUAACCGAAUAGGGGAGCCGAAGGGAAACCGAGUCUUAACUGGGCGUUAAGUUGCAGGGUAUAGACCCGAAACCCGGUGAUCUAGCCAUGGGCAGGUUGAAGGUUGGGUAACACUAACUGGAGGACCGAACCGACUAAUGUUGAAAAAUUAGCGGAUGACUUGUGGCUGGGGGUGAAAGGCCAAUCAAACCGGGAGAUAGCUGGUUCUCCCCGAAAGCUAUUUAGGUAGCGCCUCGUGAAUUCAUCUCCGGGGGUAGAGCACUGUUUCGGCAAGGGGGUCAUCCCGACUUACCAACCCGAUGCAAACUGCGAAUACCGGAGAAUGUUAUCACGGGAGACACACGGCGGGUGCUAACGUCCGUCGUGAAGAGGGAAACAACCCAGACCGCCAGCUAAGGUCCCAAAGUCAUGGUUAAGUGGGAAACGAUGUGGGAAGGCCCAGACAGCCAGGAUGUUGGCUUAGAAGCAGCCAUCAUUUAAAGAAAGCGUAAUAGCUCACUGGUCGAGUCGGCCUGCGCGGAAGAUGUAACGGGGCUAAACCAUGCACCGAAGCUGCGGCAGCGACGCUUAUGCGUUGUUGGGUAGGGGAGCGUUCUGUAAGCCUGCGAAGGUGUGCUGUGAGGCAUGCUGGAGGUAUCAGAAGUGCGAAUGCUGACAUAAGUAACGAUAAAGCGGGUGAAAAGCCCGCUCGCCGGAAGACCAAGGGUUCCUGUCCAACGUUAAUCGGGGCAGGGUGAGUCGACCCCUAAGGCGAGGCCGAAAGGCGUAGUCGAUGGGAAACAGGUUAAUAUUCCUGUACUUGGUGUUACUGCGAAGGGGGGACGGAGAAGGCUAUGUUGGCCGGGCGACGGUUGUCCCGGUUUAAGCGUGUAGGCUGGUUUUCCAGGCAAAUCCGGAAAACUAAGGCUGAGGCGUGAUGACGAGGCACUACGGUGCUGAAGCAACAAAUGCCCUGCUUCCAGGAAAAGCCUCUAAGCAUCAGGUAACAUCAAAUCGUACCCCAAACCGACACAGGUGGUCAGGUAGAGAAUACCAAGGCGCUUGAGAGAACUCGGGUGAAGGAACUAGGCAAAAUGGUGCCGUAACUUCGGGAGAAGGCACGCUGAUAUGUAGGUGAAGUCCCUCGCGGAUGGAGCUGAAAUCAGUCGAAGAUACCAGCUGGCUGCAACUGUUUAUUAAA